rnacentral:tRNA from 1 species
GGCAGUUUAGCUUAACGGUAAAGCAUUCUGCUGGAGUCUUGAGGGAUGUGGGUUCCAGUCCCAUGGCUGUUG